GACGAACGCUGGCGGCGUGCUUAACACAUGCAAGUCGAACGGAAAGGCCCUGCUUUUGUGGGGUGCUCGAGUGGCGAACGGGUGAGUAACACGUGAGUAACCUGCCCUUGACUUUGGGAUAACUUCAGGAAACUGGGGCUAAUACCGGAUAGGAGCUCCUGCUGCAUGGUGGGGGUUGGAAAGUUUCGGCGGUUGGGGAUGGACUCGCGGCUUAUCAGCUUGUUGGUGGGGUAGUGGCUUACCAAGGCUUUGACGGGUAGCCGGCCUGAGAGGGUGACCGGCCACUUGGGGCCUGGGUUCCGGCCCAGCUCCUUCCGGGGGGCAGCGUUGGGGAUUUUGCCCCAUGGGCCGGAGGCCUGUGCCACAACCGCGCGUGGCGGAAGGCGGGCCUCCGGUUGUUAACCCGCUUCCGCCUUUGAGGAGGCUGGGUGGCCGUUAUUGGUUAAGGAGGCCCCGGCUACUACCGU
rnacentral:rRNA from 1 species